rnacentral:rRNA from 1 species
GACGAACGCUGGCGGCGUGCCUAAUACAUGCAAGUCGAACGCAGUGGGGACGGGUGAGUAACACGUGGGUAACCUCCCAUCAGAGGGGAUAACACUUGGAAACAGGUACUAAACCGAUACUGAUGGAGAGACCCGCGGUGCAUGAGCUAGUUGGUGAGGGAACGGCUCACCAAGGCCACGAUUCAUAGCCGGCCUGAGAGGGUGACCGGCCACACUGGGACUGAGACACGGCCCAGACUCCUACGGGAGGCAGCAGUAGGGAAUCUUCGGAAAUGGACGAAAGUCUGAUCGAGCAAUGCCGCGUGAGUGAAGAAGGUUUUCGGAUCGUAAAACUCUUUUGGUGGAGAAGCGGUAUCUACCCAGAAAGCCACGGCUAACUACGUGCCAGCAGCCGCGGUAAUUC